GACGAACGCUUGCGACGUGCCUAAGAAAUGCAAGUCGAACGGAUCAGCAGCAAUGCUGGUUAGUGGCGAACGGUCGCGUAACACGUGGGCAACCUGCCCUGAAGCGGGGGACAACAACUCGAAAGAGUUGCUAAUACCGCAUGUGUAUCGGGAUGGCAUCAUCCAGGAUACAAAGCCGCAAGGCACUUCAGGAUGGGCCCGCGGCCUAUCAGCUAGUGGUGAGGUAACGGCCCACCAAGGCUUCGACGGGUAGCUGGCCUGAGAGGACGAUCAGCCGGAUUGGGACUGAGAUACGGCCCAGACUCCUACGGGGGGCAGCAAUUAGGAAUCUUGCACAAUGGGCGAAAGCCUGAUGCAGCGACGUCGCGUGAGGGAUGAAGUCUUUCGGGACGUAAACCUC
rnacentral:rRNA from 1 species